ACCGAAAUAUCUCAGUUGGGAGAGCGUUAGACUAUAGAUCGAAAAGUCCCCGGUUCGACCCCGGGUUCCGGCA
rnacentral:tRNA from 1 species